rnacentral:rRNA from 1 species
CCUACGGGUGGCAGCAGUGGGGGAUAUUGCACAAUGGGGGAAACCCUGAUGCAGCGAUGCCGCGUGAAUGAAGACGGCCUUCGGGUUGUAAAGCUCUGUCGCAGGGGACGAAAAUGACGGUACCCUGCAAGAAAGCUCCGGCAAAUUACGUGCAAGAAGCCGCGGUAAUAGGUAGGGAGCAAGCGUUGUCCGGAAUUACUGGGUGUAAAGGGGGCGUAGGCGGGGGGAAAAGUUGAAUGUGAAUUCUAUGGGCUAAACCGAGAGCUGCGUUCAAAACUGUUCUUCUUGAGUGAAGUAGAGGCAGGCGGAAUUCGUAGUGUAGCGGUGAAAUGCGUAGAUAUUAGGAGGAACACCAGUGGCGAAGGCGGCUUGCUGGGCUUUUACUGACGCUGAGGCUCGAAAGCGUGGGUAGCAAACAGGAUUAGAUACCCCAGUAGUC